AAUACUGAGCAAUAUGAAGGAACA
rnacentral:miRNA from 1 species